GACGAACGCUGGCGGCGUGCUUAACACAUGCAAGUCGAACGGAAAGGCCUGCUUUCCCUUGUGGUUUGCGGGUACUCGAGUGGCGAACGGGUGAGUAACACGUGAGUGAUCUGCCCCCAACUUGGGUAUAAGCCUGGGAAACUGGGUCUAAUUCCCGAUAGGACUGCAGGGUGGUGCCUGUGGUGGAAAACGAUUUUCUAGUGGUUGGGGAUGAGCCCGCGGCCUAUCAGCUUGUUGGUGGGGUAAUGGCCUACCAAGGCGGCGUCGGGUAGCCGGCCUGGGAGGGUGGACGGCGACAUUGGGACUGGGUCACGGCCCAGACGCGUACGGGAGGCAGCAGUGGGGAAGAUUGCAGCAUGGGCGGAAGCCUGAUGCAGCGACGCAGCGUGGGGGAUGACGGCCUUCGGGUUGUAAACUCCUUUCGACCGAGAGGAAGCCACCUGGUUGGAAGGGUGGUGACGGUAGUGGUAGAAGAAGCACCGGCUAACUACGUG
rnacentral:rRNA from 1 species